AAACAGAGAUAAGGGGAGAUGAGGAAAUCGUUCAAGGAUUCUCCAAGGCUCUUGAAGCUAAUAUUCAUUUUGCCAAUACCCUAUAGCAAGGGAUUUCAAUUUUAGAUUGGGAUUGCAUCUACAAAGACUACAAUAUUUUUCUAUUCGCUAAUUGCUCUAUCAGUGCAUCAAUGAUUUCCCUUUGGAUUUUCUCUUUAUUUGGGGUUUCUUUUGUUUUGAAUGAGAACCGGAUCCAAAGGUCAAAUGUGUUCUGGUUGAGGGAAGCUCAUCGUGUGCAUUUUGUGUAGGUACUUGAAGAAAUAUUAAGCCUUCUUCUUUAGUUGGGAAAAGAUACUUGUAAAUAUUAUUUCGUGUUUGUAAUGAAAAAUGUGUAUAGAUAUCAUUGUAGGCUAUGUUUCGUUUUCCUAGUGUUAAGGGAGUUUUGGGGGCUAACCAUUCAUGGGUAUCACAGAAUGGAUAUUAAAUGUGUUGUUGUUAAAAUCCAAAAGGACAAAAACACUCCUCUUGUGCCAAAGGUUUUUGUUUUUACCUUCCAUCUGUAAAUGCAUACUAACUAAACUGCAAACUUGUUAUGCUUAGUUGUUUUUCUCUGUUAUAAAUA